rnacentral:rRNA from 1 species
CCUACGGGAGACAGCAGUGGGGAAUAUUGGGCAAUGGCCGCAAGUCUGACCCAGCAACGCCGCGUGAAGGAAGAAGGCUCUCGGGUUGUAAACUUCUUUUUAGGGGGAAGAGCAGAAGACGGUACCCCUUGAAUAAGCCAUGGCUAACUACGUGCCAGCAGCCGCGUGAAUACGGAGGAGGCAAGCGUUGUCCGGAUUUACUGGGUGUAAAGGGCGUGCAGCCGGGAAGACAAGUCAGAUGUGAAAUCCCGCGGCUCAACCGAGGAACUGCAGUUGAAACUGUGUUUCUUGAGUAUCGGAGAGGUAGGCGGAAUGCGUAGUGUAGCGGUGAAAUGCAUAGAUAUUACGAAGAACACCGAUUGCGAAGGCAGAUUACUGGACGACAACUGACGGUGAGGCACGAAAGCGUGGGGAGCAAACAGGAUUAGAUACCCUUGUAGUC